UUGUGUCUGGUGAGGCCAAAGUUAUACCUUUGCAUAGAAAGUGUCCUUCCCAGAGGCCCAGUCCCCUCUACCCACCCGGGGGCUCCAGAGGCUUGUUUAGAAAAAAAAGGUGGGAAGGUAAGAGCUAGGAUUUGACUGUAGGGACUUCAGCCCUCACUUUACCUAAAAGAAGACAAGGCUCCGAGGGUGAGGAGUGCGCGGGAGGAUGCCUGUGGUGGACCCCACUUUGGGGCCUAGGGAUCUGCUCCCCUCACCAUGGAGCCCUCAUCCUUUGCCUCCUGUGACUUUAACUUAUUAAAAAAAUGUAAGCCCUUGGCAAGGAAAAGCUGCCCAGUGGUGCCUCCCUGGGUCCCCUGGUCUGGACCUGACCUCCUUCAAGGCCUUUCCUAGUGUCUGGGGGUGGGGUGCAAGGCAGGUCUCCCCACCACCUCCCACAUGCCAGGAGUCAUUUUCCUCUGGGUCCCCAAGUCAGCUCAGGAAUGGCCUGUCCCCAGACACCUGAAGGGCACCUGGAGGAAACGAGCCGGCACCUCGCUAACCCCCUUCCCAAGGGCACAGUCCUUGCUCUGCUGUGGGCGUGCCCCUCCUCCCUCCCUCUGCCCGCCUUCUCCCAGCAGUCACAGCGGAAGCCGGCAGGUGGGGGUGGUAGUUCCUGCAGAGGCCUGGCUAGCCCUUUCCUCUUCUUCCUUUUGGGGACGCCCACACAUGCUCCAGGGACAGCCCACGACACUGCCUGGGGUAUUUCCCAGCUCUGCGAGGCCCAGCCCUCCCAGCCAGGCGUUCAGAGACUAGUCCUUGUCCGUGUCCUUGUCUGCUGGAGGUGGGAGCUGUGGGACCUGUAGCCCAAUGCAGCUGUGAUGGGAGGGAGGAGGGGCCCCACUGGGACCUGAAGUCUGGAGCCCGGCUCCUCUGUGCAGCUGCCUCCCCAUCUCCCAUCGCCUGGCUGGGGCAGGAACCCAUGGCUCUGCCUGACUUGGGAAUCUCUGGGGCCCAAAGCAGGGCUCAGUACACACGUGGACACAGGAGCACAUUUGUGGACUGAACGAACCAAUAGGAAUUGGUCCCCAUUCUGUGCCAGGCCCCCUGCCAGGUACUGGGUGCUGUCUAUGCAAACAGUCCUUUCUGGGAGCAGGAAGGAGUGGUGAGUGUGAGUGUGUGUGUGUUUGUGUGUUGGGGUGGAGUGGGGGGUGGGGAAAUGAGAGUGGAUGCGCAUCCUGGAGUCACUCCUGGCCCUUGUGAUGAACAUUCUGGGCUGGUCAGUUUGAAAUGUCGGCUUUUCCUGAGCACCCCUGGGCGCGCCACGUCUCACUCUGCACUGGUCCGGACACGGGACAACGAAGCGAAGUGGCGGGGCAGGCAGCGGGGGAGGAAAAGCCAAGAACAAGACCAGAGCCACAGCGUGAAGGGCUGGGCCGGGGCAGGGGUGGCCCGGUGUGGCGGCUGCAGGCCUGCUGGGCACCCGGCCGCUGACCCCCGCCGCCCUCC